GUUAGAGAUAACAUCGAUGUGCAAUGUGACCUCGACACUUUGACAUAACUCUCUCGGUCCCAAAACCCAAGGCUAUACCGUCUCUGGUAGCACGAUCUGCAAUCCUUGCAGUUGCACCAUGCAAUAGCAUAAGCAGCCAUGGGUAUCGGUUUGGUCGCAGGUGGCAAGAGCAAGAAGUCCAAGUGAACUGCCCUUAAAUCUGACGAUAUCUACCUCAAGCUCCUCGUCAAGUUGUACUGGUUUUUGGUGCGGAGGACGGGGAGCUUUUUCAAUGCGGUGAUACUGAAGAGGCUUUUCAUGAGCAAGGUCAACAAGCCACCUAUGUCUCUCUCUAGGUUGAUUUGUUUCAUGAAGGCCAAUGAGCUUCUCUCUCUCUCUCUCUCUCUCUCUCUCUCUCUCUCUCUCUCUCUCUCUCUCUCUAUAUAUAUAUAUAUUUUUUUUUUUGAGAAAACUCUCUCUCUCUAUAUAUAUAUAUCUUCUUCUUAAUAAGUAUCCCUCUGUAUAUCUUCUAUUUUUCUGUAAUGAGAAGAAGUGAAGAAUAUAUACAAUUUUUUUUAGAUAGUGAUCUUGCGACAUAUCAGUUGGGAAUCCAUAAAUUUAAGCUCUUUAUGUUUCAUUCGAGUAGAAGGACUUAAAUCUAUCAAUACAUUUAGUUAGAAAUGAGUAAUUAAAAACUUGAACUUUUGAUUCGCUUUUCACUUGCUAUGUCUGAUUUUAGUACCGAAACGGGGAGAAGAUAUAAAGUUUAAUUUUUAUAUAAAUUUUUUAUGCUAUUAGUACCUUGUAGCUUUCGUUGAAAUUGUUUUUUACAUUUAUGAUUGAUACGGUUUCUGGUUUUGUUUAAAGGAGAAUAAGAUUGUUGUGAUUGUUGGGGCGGUGACUGAUGGCAUUCACGUGUAUGAAGUCCCUGCCCUAAGGUUCACAGAGACUGCCAGAGCUAGGAUUGAGAAGGCAGAUGGGGAAUGCUUGACAUUUGGCCAGCUGGGUCUUAGAGCUCCUCUUGGGUAGAACACGGUUCUCAAAGGUCCUAAGAAUGCUCGGGAAGCUAUGAAGCACUUUGGACCAGCCCCAAGUAUGCUACACAGCCACUUAAACUUUAUAUACGGUCAAAAGGAAGGAAAUUUGAGCGGGCUAGAGGAAAAAGGAACAACAAUUCAGAGUUUGAGCUACCGAAUUUAUGCAUAAAAUACAAAAUCACUUACCGAUUAUGGGCACAAGCGUGUCACAAUCCUUGUUCUCUUAAUUUUUAUAAUCAUCUUUUGCAAUUUUUUGUUCAAUUACUUUCUUGUGAUAUGGGUAUCUUUUCCUUCUAGAAAUGAAACCAGUUGGAUUUUUUAGUAGUUUUAAGCAGAGAUUAUUAUGUAUUGCAUGAUCUCCAUUAUCCGAGUCAUGAAUCAAUGCUUUUGUAGUUGAUGUUACCUAGAUGUUAACUAUUUAUGAUUUUAGAUGUUGGAUUAGAUGCCCCCAUUUAUAAUGAAGUUGUAUUAAAUAUGUUUUUGCAUUUGGUAA